rnacentral:rRNA from 1 species
AGCGAACGCUAGCGGCGGGCCUAACACAUGCAAGCCGAGCGGAGGGAGCAAUCCUUCAGCGGCGGACGGGUGAGUAACGCGUAGGUAAUGUACCUUCUGGUGGGGAAUAACCGUGGGAAACCAUGGCUAAUACCGCAUAUCGUCCUUACGGAUGAAAGCCUUCGGGCGCCAGAAGAGCAGCCUGCGUCCCAUUAUUUAGUCCUAGUUGGUGAGGUAACGGCUCACCAAGGGUACGAUGGGUAGCUGGUCUGAGAGGAUGAUCAGCCACACUGGAACUGAGACACGGUCCAGACUCCUACGGGAGGCAGCAGUGGGGAAUAUUGCGCAAUGGGCGAAAGCCUGACGCAGCCACGCCGCGUGAGUGAUGAAGGCCUUC